GCAAAGCGCCAACGAGUGGAAGAUCUGCAUCAUCCUCCAAAUCGUUUUGGUGCAGAAAGGAGGACUCUGCCGCUCUACGAGCAUCGAAGGCAUUUACAAGUUCAGAGAUGGCAACCACAGCCUGUUUUAUCAUAGUGAGCAGGAACGAUAUCCCUAUAUAUGAAGCUGAAGUUGGAUCUGCCGCUAAAAGAGAAGAUGCUGCUCAGCUGCAUCAAUUUAUUUUGCAUGCAGCUCUGGAUAUUGUCCAGGACCUGGC
rnacentral:misc_RNA from 1 species